AUCAUCUUUCACAAAAUAUAUUCAAUUGUAGGCGAAUCCACGAAAUACGUAUAUAAGAAUAAAUUUUGGGUACAUCCCAACACAUUAUGGCAUAACCCAUCUUAAAUUAGAAAAAGAUGUCUAAAAUAAAAAAUGGAUUACUACUAGAACAACUCCUCACACUUACGUGAUAUUUUCGAAAAGAAGGAGGAAGUGAGGGCGGGACUUGAAUUUAAAGGAGAAUGUCUCGCGCGAUUACAAUAACCCGGAUAUUACUCUAUUUUAGAUAGCGCGUUAAUAUACGCUAGCAUAGUAAAGCCGCUGCCUAUUUAUUUUUUGCUUCGGAUGUGUUAGGUAAGCAGAAACGUAAAUCUCCGAUGUGUAACUAAUUUGAGAACAUGAAACUUGCAGGAUAUUUGCUUUUAAGCGGUGUGUUUUCUGUAUUGCGUUAGAAUUGGUAUACACUGAGAUUAUCGGUUUAUCUUCCACUAAAACGGCACAGCCUGAAAAUUGCCGCGGGCAUUGCCAUUGUCUACGGUAAGAUAUCUGUGCCUAUAUUACUAUGGCGCGUCUCUCAUUGCCCGUGUGCCCAUCAUGUGGCGAUGAAACCUAUGCGCCUACAAGCGUAUAAUUUAUAGUCUGUAUUGGCAGAAUCUAGAGGUGUCCGAGGAGCGGGACCGACCACGAGGUCGCGUAAAUGUGAUUAAGUCAUUCCUUGUAUAGUUAAGUCUCGGUCGACCAGUUGGUGUGUUGUACUUUUAACUACAAGUCACGGAUAAUUUAUGCAACAGCUAGUGAAACGUGGAACAGAAUGUUUGGGAUUUAAAUCGGGCCGAUCUGAAGUUUGCGUUGAACCUACACCGUCCUACGCAACGCUGGGCGGUGUUUGACACGCAUGAAAAGCGACGGUUCCAUUUCCCAAAGUCUGUAGGCAAGAAAUAAUGGCGACCAAAACCGAGCGAGUCUUACUGGAGCUUCAACUAAUAAACUACGAACAGCAAAUUAUCUGCCUUGAACUACAACGACGGAAAAGGUUGCGUUCCCGGAGACGAUGGUAUGAGGACGGGAAGCGUAUGACAAACGGGCUCGUGGUCAUCCCGGGCGCAAUGGGACAUAAAGGCGGUGUGGAGCACAAUGGAGGCCAUAAUUUGAAGGAUCUUGAUUAAACUAUGAGCUAUAGAAUCUUCAACUGGUACUGCUGACUAGAUAUGUGAUCUAAAUGAGAACAUUUUUUUUUUUUGGGUUAAUCGUUUUUAUAUCUACUUCUCCCUCUCCAGUAAAUAAAGCUAAUUUCACUUGAA